UUCUUUUAUUUCCUUUUCUAUCCUCAACUCCCAAACUAGCUGUUGGGCUCUUAGGCCUUAGCUAGCGGAGGAGGAGAAGCAAAGAAGUCUUCGUCUCCAUUGCAAUUUGCGAGGUCAGGGCCUAGUUACAGGGUAAAAAAAUGGAUCAAUUUAAUCAUCAGGAAACUGUUUAUCAUCAUCAACAAGUUCAGCCCCCAAAUCCCCCGCUUCCCGAGUUUGGACAGCCUCCGCCUGAUAUGCACUUGUCUUCUAAUCGCCCCAAUCUUGACUCCAGGCCAGAAGCAGUGCCAAAGGACUCCAUUGCCACAAGGAAAGUUCAAAAAGCUGACCGUGAGAAGCUACGGAGGGAUCGCUUAAAUGAGCAGUUUGCUGAGUUGGGAAAUACCCUUGAUCCUGAUAGGCCAAAAAAUGACAAAGCAUCUAUCCUCACUGAUGCUAUCCAAAUGGUGAAGGAAUUGACUGCUCAGAUUGACAAAUUAAAAGCUGAACAUGCUGCACUUAACGAAGAAUCUCGUGAGUUGACUCAGGAGAAAAAUGAUCUUCGAGAAGAGAAGGCAUCUCUUAAGUCAGAUAUUGAGAGCCUUAAUGCACAACAUCAGCAGAGAGUGAGAGCUAUGUAUCCGUGGGCAGGCAUGGAUCAUUCUGUUGUUAUGCACCCAGCUUCUUAUCCUUUUCCAUUGCCCAUGCCGAUACCUGCUGGUCCAAUUCCCAUGCAUCCAUCUUUGCAGCCAUUCCCACUAUAUGGGAAUCAGAAUGCUGCGGUUGUUCCAAGUCCUGUGUCAACUUUUGUUCCAUAUAUGGCUCCUAAUAGCAUUAUUGAACAGCAAUCAACACAACAUGUUUCUCAAGUAACACAGCCUGGUAGCAGAUCCCAUACUUCAAGCAGGCAAGAUUCUAGACCCAAAGCAUGCAAUCAGAAGGAUAGCAGAAGUGAAAAAAGCGAGACUUCAGAUGAUGUUGCAACUGACCUUGAGCUCAAGACCCCUGGGUCUACAGUAGAACAGGAUGUUUCACCUGGACAAAGAAAAGCCAAAAGAUCAUCUAGGAAGGAGAGUAACAUUACGGAAGGAAGUUCUUCAAGCAGGUGUUCAUCAUCUCACAGUGUACAGGCUGCUUCGUCAAGUAGUGUAGUUGGUGGCACAAAAACAGAUGAGUGAAGGAGGAAACCUGAACCUGGUUAUUUCAAAUUCAUUCUCCUCUCUUAAUCACUCUGAGUUAACCUUUGUCAACUGCUGGUGGCAUUCUUCUACUCUGGUGUGCAGCAGCUGCGGCGGACUUCAGCUGGAUACCAGAGGACGAGUCCAAGUGUAAAUAUGGUGUAGUUCCUCUCCAUAAGUAGGUUAGUGCUUCCACAGGACGUGGAUUAUAAUGGAGCCAGCAUCUGGAAAAGUAAUUUCAGAGGUGAUCUAUGCUGAUCAAGUUUCGGUGAAUGGACUUGUUGAUGAAUGAAUGGGGGCACCACACUGAAGUUAGCCGAGUAGAAGUCAGGAGAAUACAAAUGCAGUGAAGUUAGCCGAGUAGGAAGUCAGUCAGUGAUGAAAGUUAUGCGACUCUUCACUGCUCCUAUGUGAAUGUGGCACGACCAAAUUUUCACUUCAGAGUCGUUACCAUUGGCCAUGCCCACUACAUUUCUAGCGCUCCAGUUCUUUUUCUGCUUUUGAAGGGAGAAUGGAGUGCUAUUUGACCCCUUUUCGUCUUUUUUUUAAGGAGUGCUGGCAAAGAACGUGCUGCAGCGUAAUGGUCAUUUGGAUUUGUUACGGUACAACUGACACCAUAGGAUGUGCCGACGUCAUAGUGAGUGGUAUUUGCUAUUCGGUGAGCCAUUCUGAUGGGGGAAAAAUAUAAAUAAAUAUGGUGUAGUUUUCAUUGUUGGUUGGUGUGGGUGAGAAAGUAAGGCAGGACAUAAAUAGGAGAUACAAACGUAGCCGCGCGUGCAAUUCCUUCCUUUCCUUUUUUUUUUUUUCCAUCUUUUAAUGGAGGAGAUAUAGAUACAAAAAA